rnacentral:lncRNA from 1 species
CCAUCAUGCAAGCGCAAGUUCCAAGUAAACAGCAACAUUUAACAGGUACUACAGAUAUUAUCUGAGUUUGUAGAAGUUAAAAUUUUCAGUUAACCUGAAGCUUCCCGUAUUAAAUUCAUUUGAACUCAUUUGUGAUGCAAUAACAUACCAAUCCAACAAAUAAUCAAUCCCUCAUGAACAAAAAGGAAUUUGUUACGUGUUUUUAUCAGUUUCUAGCAUAUACUACUC